rnacentral:piRNA from 1 species
ACAACUAAGACCAACUGGAGCAC